CAAAACUUUUAUUUUGGAUGUGAUUAAUCGUGAUUAAUCAUUUGACAGCCCUAAUGUAAAUAUGUCUGCACAUUUCUGAUUUUAGCGUGUGAGGAGACUUUUAUUUUGGAGAGGAGAUAUGACAUCAUAAGCCUGUGCCUCCUCCUGCUCUGUUGUGAUUUGGCUGAAGAAAGGUUUGUGUUUUGAGCAUUUGAAGUGUUUCAAACUGUUCAGGAAAUGUUAUGCUUCUAACGAGAACUCUUGAAUGAAUGAUUUAUUACUGAAUGCAACAUUGUAAUGCUUUGUAUAACAUUUUUAACGUUUUUUUUUUUUUUUUUCUAAAUCAUCUGCACAUGAGUAACACAUUUAGUUUGGAUUUAUUUUCUGUCUGUUAAUUAUUCUCAUCUUGUUCAAACUCACAGAAAAUCAUCUACGUGACACACUAUUAUAAAGAUGUCGUUUAUUAAAGAGGAGAGUGAAGACAUUAGGAUUGCAGAAGUGUUCAGCAUCAAACAUGAAGAUACUGAGGAACAAACAGAAAUUCAGCUGGAAUAUUCCCAUCAGUUUACAAGUGAAGACGAGCAUCAAAGCUUCAGGAAGAAAUCUGUAAAGUCUGAGUUUAUUAAAGAGGACCAAGAGGAGAUGAGAGAUCCAGAACCCUGCAGAAUCAAACACACUGAAGACACUGAAGAACUAACAGGUUGGUGUUUAUUCUUCAUUCUUCACUAACAAUGUUGGCAGUACUAAAGUUUCAAGUAGUUUUAGAUUGUGUUUGUUGUAAUAGGAAAUAUCUUAAGAAAAUGUAAUCAAAUAAUAAGGGCCACUUUCUAUGAACUG
rnacentral:lncRNA from 12 species